GGUCAAGAGAGUGAGACUGUAAUCAUAGCAGUUUGAGAACCGCUAGUGUAUCGCCUUCUCUUUCACUCCCUCUCCUGCAGCCCGCUCUCCUGACCCUACCGCUCGAGUCAACCCAUAACGCUGAUAAAUAUUUACUCUAGAGCAGUUCUUUUUUUCCCUUGGGUCUUAAGUGAAUUUCAUAGUUCAUAAAACAUCACACGGGUUCUUUAAUGAGAACUUCCCGCUUCUGCUACAGGGCCCUCGCGAGUCUCAGAUUGUGUGUGUUAAAUUCAAGGCAGAGAAGUGUAAAGCCAUCCGCACUGAAUCCCACCCAGCGACUCACUUUGACUCGUAGUCAAAUACGGCGAAAUUUCGCGGGAAAAAUCCAGUCAUUCCGCGUUGCUUGUUCAGUCUGAGGAUGAAGAAGUCCACCACGGUCAUAUUCACGUUGGUCACUCGCAAUUUUUUGUUUCUAAAGUCACGACCGUCUCUGGGAAAAGCACACGGGGCUCGAAAAGUUAGCAAACGCUCGCAGAGCAGUUCAUUUGUCACGGAGGCCAUUUUAUAAGUUUCUUAAAAUGCACCACAGAGGAUGGCCAACACCCGUUUCUAUCUUUAGAUGGGGGAAUCCACCCAAAGCUGUCACUCAUGUGGUCAAAUCUCUAAGAAAAAAAGGUGCACCUUUCGUGCCAGCUGCUCUCGUGUGCCAACAUCAGGGUAUUUGGUUUCUUGGAAAAGGUUCUCCAGUGCCUCCAGUUGCUCGUCGGUGAAAAUGGUUCGGUGUCGUCUCUUGCGCCGGCAGUGUAACUGGUUGAGUAGCUGUAGUUCGGUUCUGGAUAAGGUGCCUACGUUCAUGUACGACAUCAUCUGAUGUGGGACUGGAGAAAUGAGUACUGAACCGGCGCUGUCGUAACCUGAAAAUCAAAUCAUUGUAUUUCAAUGCACGGCAUACAGAUUUUAAAUUUAACGGACUCGUAUAAAACGGUAUUUGUAUUAGGCCUAUUAUUAUUAUUUAUUUCUCCUGAGAAGCUAGUGGCUCUAAAGUUCUUCUAAGAGUCUGCUUAUCAAGAACAAUUAUGGGGUGUGUUGAGUUUUGUGAUGUUAUUAAAUUAAGUUUUUCUUUUCUUAUUUUGGAAAGUAGGCAUAAAUGUAACAUUAUCGUUUCAUCAGAUUAUUAACCUAACUCUUCUUUAACUUUAAAAUAACAUUAGACUGUAAAAGUAAAACCUAUUUUUGUUGUAACUGGAAUCUUUGUUUUUAAGUUGUGCUACAAAAAAAAUAAAAUGGCACGAAAUUCA